UCCAGCUGCACCUCGGCUCCUUGCUUCCUCCGCCUCCCCAUCUCUUUUAAGCCGGUUAGAAACAAAUCAAAAGACUUAUCCUUCAGAAAUCUAGACACGAGGGAAACAGUGCACAGCUAGUCUAACCUGGCUUUAGGAUUUGUUCUGCUCAGAGCACCACCAGGCCUACUUCAUCUGUCUAUGUUCUUCAUUCUGUGCAACAUCAAAACGGAGAAAUAUCCAUCACAUGCAGCUAAACAAGCACUGCCCUCAAGAUAAGCAAGAUUAAAACAAUUACAACUCACCCAGCUCACCGACGCUGAGUAACUGACCGCUGUUCCACCAGCCAUAACUAUAGCUUUGAUUGGAUGAGAGACUGACUCCAGUAACUUUCUCCUGAUAAGAGACCACCGGCCAUGGACUGGUUCUGGCUGGUUUGCAGAAAGUACAUUCAUCCGCCUUCAUGUCCUGAAAAGACCUUUUGAGCAGGCAGAAACUAUGCGCGUGUGUUCCCCGAGUGAUUCUGCACAAGGCCAUCUGCAGCUUGCACAGCUCAGCCCCAGGAGGAUGAGCACAUGAGGCCUGAAAAAAAUCUUGGGAAGAGUGACAGCGGUGGUGUUUCCUCUCCAGGGAUGACACCCUAAAGACUGGGCCCUGUGUGGGGACAAUACAGGGUAAGAAAGCAGAGGCUCCAGCAGGGAGCUCGCCUGGGGCCAUGCUGCAUUCUCAGGCAAGGCAGCUUUUCCAGGGCCAGGAGACCCUUGCUAGCUGCUUGCCAGUCAACUGUUGUCUCCCUUUGGGAACACCACCUCUGCUGCUGGGCUGGACUUCCUCCCAGCACCAGAUGGUGUCAUUGACCACCUGAAACAAACACAGUCGAUACUGCUACAAACACAUCAUGCAGUCUUUUUCCUUUCUGAUGAGAAUUGCACAAAAUCGAAUUGACCACCUGGAACAAAUGCCACCAAUACCAUUAAAAACAUACCAUACAGACCUUUUCGUUUUUAAUGGGAAUUGCAUGAAAUCAGAUUGACUGGAAUGCUUGUGUCUGUGGAGCCUAAGCAUGUGGCAUGCUAUAUAGAUGGUGAAUUCAUCUGCACAUGAGGCCGCACGUUUGACACAUCUCCACCAACAUAGGGAUUGCUUCCCGGCAUGCAUGACUAAUAGUGAGUUGUGAAAAGGAAACUUAACUUAACUAUCAAUAAUAAAAGGGAUUUUCAAUCAACCAUGCUACAGGAAAGAUGGCAUUCUCUUCUGUUCUCUGUAGAAAAGGCAAUAAAAAUCAGUGCCACAUAACAAGGUUAUCAGAGGCUGUAGCAUAGAGGUAUCACAUAGUUAAUUAAUGAAAAUGUUCUCUUAUUUUCUGGGUAUCCCAAGGCUUUAAAAAAUGUAUAACUUGUUACAAGUUUUUGUUGUAAAUACACGUUCAAUUUCAUGUGUGA